CAGUUCGGAUUGUAGGCUGCAACUCGCCUACAUGAAGUCGGAAUCGCUAGUAAUCGCGGAUCAGCAUGCCGCGGUGAAUACGUUCCCGGGCCUUGUACACACCGCCCGUCACACCAUGAGAGUCGGGAACACCCGAAGUCCGUAGCCUAACCGCGAAGGGGGGGCGCGGCCGAAGGUGGGUUCGAUAAUUGGGGUGAAGUCGUAACAAGGUAUC
rnacentral:rRNA from 1 species